rnacentral:rRNA from 1 species
UACUCAUACCACUCUGAACACACUUGACCUUGUUAGCUUUCAGAAACUAAGCAGGGCGAGGCUUGAUUAGUACUUGGAUGGGAGACAACCAGAGAACAUCAGAGCUUUCUAAGUAG